rnacentral:rRNA from 1 species
CGGGUUGUAAAGCACUUUCAGUAGGGAGGAAGGUAGUGUAGUUAACAACCUGCACUAUUUGACGUUACCUACAGAAGAAGCACCGGCUAACUCCGUGCCAGCAGCCGCGGUAAUACGGAGGGUGCGAGCGUUAAUCGGAAUUACUGGGCGUAAAGCGCAUGCAGGCGGCCUGUUAAGUCAGAUGUGAAAGCCCGGGGCGUUAACCUUCGGAAUUGCAUUUGUAAACUAGGCAGGCUAGAGUCUUGUAGAGGGGGGUAGGAAUUUCAGGUGUAGCGGUGAAAUAGCGUAGAGAUCUGAAGGAAUACCAGUGGCGAAGGCGGCCCCCUGGACAAAGACUGACGCUCAGAUGCGAAAGCGUGGGGAGCAAACAGGAUUAGAUACCCCUGGUAG